CACCUCUCAGGCUGGCACCUGGAGAGUUUCCCAUACUCUACCAGUCUCGACUAUGGGAGGGAGAGUCAAGCAGAGGCCUGCCCAUUCCAUUCCUAGCUAGACCAGUGGCUAGCGAGUGGAAGACAAUCUGCUACAAGU